rnacentral:misc_RNA from 1 species
GAUGAAGAACGCAGCGAAAUGCGAUAAGUAAUGUGAAUUGCAGAAUUCAGUGAAUCAUCGAAUCUAUGAACGCACAUUGCGCCCGCCAGUAUUCUGGCGGGCAUGCCUGUUCGAGCGUCAUUACAACCCUCAGGCCCCCGGGCCUGGCGUUGGGGAUCGGCGGAGCCCCCCGUGGGCACACGCCGUCCCCCAAAUACAGUGGCGGUCCCGCCGCAGCUUCCAUCGCGUAGUAGCUAACACCUCGCGACUGGAGAGCGGCGCGGCCACGCCGUAAAACACCCAACUCUUCUGAAGUUGACCUCGAAUCAGGUAGGAAUACCCGCUGAACUUAAGCAUAUCAAUAAGCGGAGGA